GUCGAACGUGCAGCACAGGAUGAGCUUGCUCUCUGGGUGGCGAGUGGCGGACGGGUGAGGAAUACAUCGGAAUCUACUCUGUCGUGGGGGAUAACGUAGGGAAACUUACGCUAAUACCGCAUACGACCUACGGGUGAAAGCAGGGGAUCUUCGGACCUUGCGCGAUUGAAUGAGCCGAUGUCGGAUUAGCUAGUUGGCGGGGUAAAGGCCCACCAAGGCGACGAUCCGUAGCUGGUCUGAGAGGAUGAUCAGCCACACUGGAACUGAGACACGGUCCAGACUCCUACGGGAGGCAGCAGUGGGGAAUAUUGGACAAUGGGCGCAAGCCUGAUCCAGCCAUACCGCGUGGGUGAAGAAGGCCUUCGGGUUGUAAAGCCCUUUUGUUGGGAAAGAAAUCCAGCCGGCUAAUACCUGGUUUGGAUGACGGUACCCAAGAAUAAGCACCGGCUAACUUCGUGCCAGCAGCCGCGGUAAUAC
rnacentral:rRNA from 1 species